GACAGAGGUGCCAAGCGUUAGGCGGAAUCACUGGGCUUAAAGCGUGUGUAGGCGGACUUGUAAGUACCUUGUGAAAUCCCCCGGCUUAACCGGGGAACUGCUUGGUAUACUGGGUGUCUUGAGCCACUUAGGGGCGACCGGAACAAACGGUGGAGCGGUGAAAUGCGUAGAUAUCGUUUGGAACGCCAAUGGUGAAAACAGGUCGCUGGGAGUGUGCUGACGCUGAGACACGAAAGCCAGGGGAGCGAACGGG
rnacentral:rRNA from 1 species